UGCGGGAAGAAGGCCUUCGGGUUGUAAACCGCUUUUGUCAGGGAAGAAAUSUUCUGGGCUAAUACCYCGGGAGGAUGACGGUACCUGAAGAAUAAGCRCCGGCUAACUACGUGCCAGCRRCCGCGGUAAUACKUARGGKGCGAGCGUUAAUCGGAAUUACUGGGCGUAAAGCGUGCGCAGGYGGUCWUGYAAGACAGGUGUGAAAUCCCCGGGCUUAACCUGGGAAYUGCAYUUGUGACUGCAWGGCUGGAGUGYGGCAGAGGGGGAUGGAAUUCCGCGUGUAGCARUGAAAUGCGUARAUAUGCGGAGGAACACCGAUGGCGAAGGCAAUCCCCUGGGCCUGYACUGACRCUCAUGCACGAAAGCGUGGGGAGCAAACAGGAUUARAUACCCUGGUAGUCCACGCCCUAAACGAUGUCAACUGGUUGUUGGAMGGSUUGCUGYUCAGUAACGAAGCUAACGCGUGAAGUUGACCGCCUGGGGAGUACGGCCGCAAGGUUGAAACUC
rnacentral:rRNA from 1 species